AGAACACAAAAUGUUUGUAAAGUUACUCUGUAUCAUCAAAAAAAGUACCUUGUAUUCCUCAGCUUCCAUGUCAUCUUGAGCAACGCUUCCUUCUAAAGGUGUGAAUUUAUUCAGUCUCGGGGCAACAAAAAAGAAAGAAAAAUAAUAAUCUGCACCCAAAAGCCAAUGAAGUAUUUCACACAGCUGUCCCAAAGGGCGGCUUCCAGUGAAGCCUAACGAUAAAGCUACUAAAGCUACGUGACAUCAAACCAGCCCAUUAACGCAUUCACCUUUGCUCUAAAACGCUCGUCAAAGGUUGUGUCAUUGAAAAAAAAAACAGAAGACAACCAUCGUCCUGUUCCACGUCAAAUGCUGCAACAAAUUGGAGCCGUACUGUGAUUAACACAGGGGCACAAUCAACCUGUCUGUAAUGGGACACCUUUCACCUUCAUCUCCAAAACAGUAUCCCCCGCCAGAUAGAAUGUAUCUUCCCGUAGCGAUAAUAAUCUCAAAAUCUUCCAACUACAACGAUAUAACCCUCAUCUCCGCCAACGUGAGCUGCUGGCUGUGACGAGAUUGAUGUCAAGCGUGUCUCAAAAGCGGCCGUUGAUUGUUGGUGCCGUUAGGAUGUGCCUUGCUGUCGCAAUCUCAGCUAACGCCUGGUGGAGGUGGACCGUGCUUUCUGAUUGGAAAAAAAAACGAACGGGAAUAUCUUCUGUUAACAAUCAGUUGUUGAAGAUAUCGGGCGCUUUCAUUGCCCGGUCACAUUAUAGCCGUAAUGAGACAUUUUGCCGCUGUUCACUCGAUAGGACAAUUGAUUCUUGGGCAUAAGAUGUGUUGAAAAGACAACUUGCUCCGUUUUUCGGC